rnacentral:rRNA from 1 species
UACGAAGGGGGCUAGCGUUGCUCGGAAUCACUGGGCGUAAAGGGUGCGUAGGCGGGUCUUUAAGUCAGGGGGUGAAAUCUCGGAGCUUAACUCCGAAACUGCAUUCGAUACUGCCGUGCUUGAGGACUGGAGAGGAGACUGGAAUUUACGGUGUAGCGGUGAAAUGCGUAGAUAUCGUAAGGAAGACCAGUGGCGAAGGCGGGUCUCUGGACAGUUCCUGACGCUGAGGCACGAAGGUCAGGGGAGCAAACGGG